GUACAUAAUGUAGUGAAAUGUAAAUACUGAGAGCUGAGAGUGGAGAGCAGCGCCUGAGGCCUCUCUGGACCUGUGGUUAAUGGAAUCUUUGUCUUUUGACCAGUAUUUCUUCUAUUCCCUCGAAGUAAUCCUCUGUUUCUGUUAAAUCAUCUGGUGUUCUGCAUUAGAACGAGAAAAAAAUAGUGAGAUGACACGAAUAAACCAUGACGGUUCAGUAAUUACACAUUUUAAACAUAUCGGAUAUAUUUCUACUUCACAAGACAGAUUAAAUUCAGUGAAGCAUAAUCGAGCAAAACUACAAAUCUAAGUGAAACUAUCAAGAUUGAUGUCUUGAAGACAAAUAAAUGUAACUACUGGUUAUGUGUUUAACUGUGUGAAAAUAUAUGAUAUUAUGUUCAUAAGCUAGGCACAUCUGAAACAUAAAAAUGAUAUAUAGUAACACAAAAUGAUAUAUUGUUUCAUGAUAAGCUGUGAACUUCCAUUACAAAAUACCAAAAAGUCAUAGCAGUACCUAUCCAUUAUCAUUUAUCAUCUUACUGCUUAAACAAAGAAACGAUGCCAUGAUGAGACUGUUCAGUUUGUCCUAGUUUUGUUCUAUUUGGAAUGAAAACUGCACAAACCCCAAACAGAUUAAACGUGAAAGAACUUACUUACCACAAGUUUGUUGGAUAACAAGUUAAAGCUUGUCUUGACGACGUUUGAAAUGAUAAAUCUGUAAAAUAAAAAUUCACUAGAACUUUAAGCAUGAAAGCAGAGGUACUGAGCAAUUAGCGAAUGGUAAGUGUGGAGAUAGAACAGAGGGCACAUACCUAUACCUUAUUUACGCUGCAAAAAGAGCUUCCUCGGGUCAUUGAUUAACAAGACAGGUGUGCGACGAACAUGAAAUCUGCACAGAAAAUAGUGUGAUUAAGUAACUGCAUUUAUGAGGACUAAUAGCAGAUGACAGUAGUUACAAAUCAAACAUCGUCAAGGAUGUUAAAGCUACUCCAAGUUGGACGGUGUACACAUUUUAUACUUCUAUAAAUCAGAGUCAUAAGGCACAACAACAGCCUUAGCACAAACGUGAGGUGAUAGUGCAGUGCUGGGCAAUGUCUUGAAGGCUGUUUGUAGAGUGGGCAUAUCGGUGAUUAUGCCAUCACCUUUAACAAACAUGGCUAUUCUGGAGAUUACACUUGUAUGUUCAUAAAUCGUCAUAACAAAUGCAAUAUUUUAGUGUUGAAGAAAAAGAGUACUAGAAGCUUCUACUGAAUAUAAUUAUCUAUUUAUAAGUGUAAUCAAUUGCUUAGAUCUGAAGGCAGAAAGAACUACAUAAUAUCCAACCAUAAAAUCGUCACUUUAUGUGUUCUUCGAAAUAUUGAUGGUUACACUGUGUGUGCUCACCAGAAUUUUAGCAAAUGUCAAAAGGAACAAACUAUACAUAACAGAUAGCUAAGUAAAUUAUGCUUUCCAUAUAUGAUCAUGAAAAGUAGAAGGAUGUUGUAGACAUGAGACUUCAUAUAUAAAUAUUUAGAGCCUACUUGGUUUGAGCCAAAUUUUGGCAACCCUAAAAAAUUGGCAGUUGAAUGCUUGGGCUCCAAUUUCUGGCAAUUCUUCGAAUCAAACACUAGCAAAGUUGCCAAAUGUUGGCCAGUCUGAGCUUUGCCAAAAAUUGGCAAGCCAAAAUGUGGCUCCAAAGCAAGCAGGCUCUUAUUUACUGCAUGCAGCUUCUGAGAUCCUGAACAGAGUAAAGAUCUUGGAUUCUCUGGUAUGAGCUAGAAAAAACUGAUUAAUCAGAGUUAUCUUGUUGAUUGAUAUUAUAGCACUUAUCUACGCGCAUCCUAUCAAAGAUCAAAAAACUAAGCUGAUCACAGCUAGCAUCUAUGUUCAUCAAACAUUCAAAGGGUUCUCAACCGGCAUGAUGACACUGAAAAUGAACUCUGUUCGGCGUUUAGCCACAGCAAUACUCUUAUGACCAGCAGCAACUGAGAAGUAAGACCAGACCUAACAUUUCAUAAGUGCCACAAAUGACACAUCUGGUGUCCAUCGUACCACUUCCCAAGAAACUGAAGCUAACAAUUCCCUCCACAG
rnacentral:lncRNA from 1 species